rnacentral:rRNA from 1 species
GUAUAAGAGACAGCAGUCGCCGCGGUAAUACGAAGGGUGCAAGCGUUAAUCGGAAUUACUGGGCGUAAAGCGUGCGCAGGCGGUUCGCUAGGACAGAUGUGAAAUCCCCGGGCUUAACCUGGGAACUGCAUUUGUGACUGGCGGGCUAGAGUAUGACAGAGGGGGGUAGAACUCCACGUGUAGUAGUGAAAUGCGUAGGGAUGUGGAGGAAUACCGAUGGCGAAGGCAGCCCCCUGGGCCAAUACUGACGCUCAUGCACGAAAGCGUGGGGAGCAAACAGGAUUAGAUACCCCUGUAGUCCCUGUCUCUUAUAC